UACGGAGGGGGCUAGCGUUGUUCGGAAUUACUGGGCGUAAAGCGCACGUAGGCGGCUUUGUAAGUAAGAGGUGAAAGCCUGGUGCUCAACACCAGAACUGCCUUUUAGACUGCAUCGCUUGAACACGGGAGAGGUGAGUGGAAUUCCGAGUGUAGAGGUGAAAUUCGUAGAUAUUCGGAAGAACACCAGUGGCGAAGGGCGGACUCACUGGACCGUUGUUGACGCUGAGGUGCGAAAGCGUGGGGAGCAAACAGG
rnacentral:rRNA from 1 species